rnacentral:rRNA from 1 species
GAUGAACGCUGGCGGCGUGCCUAAUACAUGCAAGUCGAGCGAAAAGACGAGGCGCUUGCUCCUCUGACGUUAGCGGAGGACGGGUGAGUAACGCGUGGAUAACCUCCCUAUCAGACUGGUAUCACUUCGGGACACCGGAGAUUAUCCCGGAUAAUAUCUUGAACCGCAUGGUUCAAUAGUGAAAGACGGUUUUGCUGUCUCUUAUCGAUGGAUCCGCGCCGCAUUAGCUAGUUGGUACGGUAACGGCUUUCGACGGCAACGAUGCGUAGCCGAGCGGCUAGGGUGAUCGGCCACACGGGAACGUGAACACGGUCCAUACUCCUACGAGAGGCAGCAGUAGGGAAUCUGCCGCAAUGGGCGAAAGCCUUACGGAGCAAGGCCACGUGAGUGAUGAAGGUCUUCGGAGCGUAAAACUCUGUUAUGAGGUAUGAACAAAUUUGGAAUGAACUAUGCACUUCUUGACGGUACCGAAUCAGAAAGCCCCGGCUAACUACGUG